GCGGCUAUAGUGUAAUGGUAACACAGGAACUUGUGGAGUUCUUAUCACGGGUCCGAUUCCCGUUAGCCGCC
rnacentral:tRNA from 1 species